rnacentral:tRNA from 1 species
GAGGGUAUAGCUCAGUGGUAUAGCGUGUGCUUAGCAUGUAUGAGGUCCUGGGAUCAAUCCCCAGGAUCUCCA